rnacentral:rRNA from 1 species
UACAGAGGGGGCAAGCGUUGUUCGGAAUUACUGGGCGUAAAGGGCGCGUAGGCGGCCUGUUAAGUCGAACGUGAAAUCCCCGGGCUCAACCCGGGAACUGCGUCCGAUACUGGCAGGCUUGAAUCCGGGAGAGGGAUGUGGAAUUCCAGGUGUAGCGGUGAAAUGCGUAGAUAUCUGGAGGAACACCGGUGGCGAAGGCGGUUCUCUGGGCAUGAUCUGACGCUGAGGAGCGAAAGCGUGGGGAGCGAACAGG